rnacentral:lncRNA from 1 species
GGUUCUAUGCUUAAACAACUCAACCAUUCCGUUAUUGCUUUGGUGCCUAAGUCGGAUCAUGCUUCGCAUGUUGGGGAUUUUAGACCUAUUUCUUGUUGUAACGUGAUCUAUAAAGUGAUCACCAAAAUUCUUGCAUCUAGAUUGAGGCCUAUAUUGGGGGAUAUUGUUGACCAAGCACAAGCCGCCUUCAUUGAAGGUAGAAGCAUGACGGAAAAUAUUCAUCUUGCUCAAGAGCUUAUGAGGCAAUACAAUAGGAAGAGAGUUGCUCCGAGAUGCCUCCUUAAAAUUGAUAUUAGCAAAGCUUUUGACUCGGUUAGUUGGGACUUUCUCAAAAGUGUUCUUGAAGGGUUGAAUUUUCCUUUGAGAUUUGUUCAAUGGAUUAUGGAGUGUGUUACCACUCCGACAUAUUCGGUUGCUUUGAAUGGAAGUAUGCAUGGUUUCUUCAAAGGCGGGAAAGGCCUUCGACAAGGUGAUCCACUCUCCCCUUUCUUGUUCGUGAUUUGUCUUGAAUAUUUUUCUAGAAUGAUCAAGGAUGCUACAAAUGAUAGUGAUUUUAAUUAUCACCCAAAAUGUGGUCCCCUUAAGAUAACCCACUUGGCUUUUGCGGAUGACUUGAUGCUUUUUGCAAGGGGUGAUGCUAUGUCCGUUGAAAUUCUAUGCAAUUGCCUUUACAAAUUUGGUUUAGCAUCGGGUUUGAAGAUCAACACUACGAAAUCCAGCAUCUACACAGCAGGAAUUUUUGGGUAUGAGCUUGAAACUAUCAUGGAAAUCUCAAAUUUUUCGAAAGGGA